rnacentral:rRNA from 1 species
AACGAACGCUGGCGGCAGGCCUAACACAUGCAAGUCGAACGAACCUUUAUGGUGAGUGGCGCACGGGUGCGUAACGCGUGGGAACGUGCCUCUGGGAGCGGAAUAACGUCGGGAAACUGACGCUAAUACCGCAUAAUGACUUCGGUCCAAAGAUUUAUCGCCCAGAGAUCGGCCCGCGUCUGAUUAGUUAGUUGGUGAGGUAACGGCUCACCAAGACGAUGAUCAGUAGCUGGUCUGAGAGGAUGAUCAGCCACACUGGGACUGAGACACGGCCCAGACUCCUACGGGAGGCAGCAGUGAGGAAUAUUGGACAAUGGGCGCAAGCCUGAUCCAGCCAUGCCGCGUGAGUGAAGAAGGCCUUAGGGUUGUAAAGCUCUUUCAACGGUGAAGAUAAUGACGGUAGCCGUAGAAGAAGCCCCGGCUAAACUCGUGCCAGCCGCCGCGGUAAAAC